rnacentral:rRNA from 1 species
UACGUAGGGUGCAAGCGUUAAUCGGAAUUACUGGGCGUAAAGGGUGCGCAGGCGGUUAUGUAAGUCAGAUGUGAAAUCCCCGGGCUUAACCUGGGAAUGGCGUUUGAAACUACAUGACUAGAGUGUAGCAGAGGGAAGCGGAAUUCCAUGUGUAGCAGUGAAAUGCGUAGAGAUAUGGAGGAACAUCGAUGGCGAAGGCAGCUUCCUGGGUUAACACUGACGCUCAUGCACGAAAGCGUGGGGAGCAAACAGG